AAUAAGUGUAGCCAUAAGUUUCCGUGUCUAACUUUGAUCGUCCGUCUUAUUUAAAAUUUUUUUAUAAUUAGCAUUUUUGUUGUUAUGAGAUGAUAAAACAUGAAUAGUACUUUACUCGUGACUUAUGUUUUUAAUUUUUUUCAAAAAAUUUUCAAAUAAGACGAACGGUCAAAGUUAAACGCGGAAAACUAUGGCUGCACUUAUU
rfam:Oryza nivara chromosome 10, whole genome shotgun sequence.